AUUGAACGCUGGCGGCAGGCCUAACACAUGCAAGUCGAGCGGAGCGGCGGACGGACGAGUAAUGCCUAGGUAUCUGCCUGGUCGUGGGGGAGAACGUCCGGCAACAGACGCUAAUACCGCCUACUUUCAGAUGAGCCUAGGCGGGAUUAGCUAGUUGGUGGGGUAAGGGCCUACCAAGGCGACGAUCCGUAGCUGGUCUGAGAGGAUGAUCAGUCACACUGGAACUGAGACACGGUCCAGACUCCUACGGGAGGCAGCAGUGGGGAAUAUUGGACAAUGGGCGAAAGCCUGAUGCAGCCAUGCCGCGUGUGUGAAGAAGGUCUUCGGAUUGUAAAGCACUUUAAGCUGGGAGGCGUUACUAGCAGAAGAAGCACCGGCUAACUCCGUGCCAGCAGCCGCGGUAAUAC
rnacentral:rRNA from 1 species